UACGUAGGGGGCAAGCGUUGUCCGGAUUUAUUGGGCGUAAAGAGCGUGUAGGCGGUUCGGUAGGUCCGUUGUGAAAACUCGAGGCUCAACCUCGAGACGCCGAUGGAAACCAUCGAACUAGAGUCCGGAAGAGGAGAGUGGAAUUCCUGGUGUAGCGGUGAAAUGCGCAGAUAUCGGGAAGAACACCUAUGGCGAAGGCAGCUCUCUGGGACGGUACUGACGCUGAGACGCGAAAGCGUGGGGAGCGAACAGG
rnacentral:rRNA from 1 species